UACAGAGGUCUCAAGCGUUGUUCGGAUUCAUUGGGCGUAAAGGGUGCGUAGGUGGCAUGGUAAGUCGGAUGUGAAAGUCGGGGGCUCAACCCUCGGAUGCCGAUCGAUACUGUCGGGCUAGAGUCCGGAAGAGGCGAGUGGAAUUCCUGGUGUAGCGGUGAAAUGCGCAGAUAUCAGGAGGAACACCAAUGGCGAAGGCAGCUCGCUGGGACGGUACUGACGCUGAGGCGCGAAAGCGUGGGGAGCAAACAGG
rnacentral:rRNA from 1 species